GAUGAACGCUGGCGGCGUGCCUAAUACAUGCAAGUCGAGCGAACAGACGAGGAGCUUGCUCCUCUGACGUUAGCGGCGGGGGGGUGAGUAACACGUGGAUAACUUACCUAUAAGACUGGGAUAACUUCGGGAAACCGGAGCUAAUACAGGAUAAUAUAUUGAACCGCAUGGUGCAAUAGUGAAAGACGGUUUUGCUGUCACUUAUAGAUGGAUCCGCGCCGCAUUAGCUAGUUGGUAAGGUAACGGCUUACCAAGGCAACGAUGCGUAGCCGACCUGAGAGGGUGAUCGGCCACACUGGAACUGAGACACGGUCCAGACUCCUACGGGAGGCAGCAGUAGGGAAUCUUCCGCAAUGGGCGAAAGCUUGACGGAGCAACGCCGCGUGAGUGAUGAAGGUCUUCGGAUCGUAAAACUCUGUUAUUAGGGAAGAACAAAUGUGUAAGUAACUAUGCACGUCUUGACGGUACCUAAUCAGAAAGCCACGGCUAACUACGUG
rnacentral:rRNA from 1 species